rnacentral:rRNA from 1 species
AUUGAACGCUGGCGGCAUGCCUUACACAUGCAAGUCGAACGGUAACGGGCCUUCGGGUGCCGACGAGUGGCGAACGGGUGAGUAAUAUAUCGGAACGUGCCCAGUAGUGGGGGAUAGCCCGGCGAAAGCCGGAUUAAUACCGCAUACGACCUGAGGGUGAAAGCGGGGGAUCGCAAGACCUCGGCCUAUUGGAGCGGGCGAUAUCAGAUUAGCUAGUUGGUGGGGUAAAGGCCUACCAAGGCAACGAUCUGUAGUUGGUCUGAGAGGACGACCAGCCACACUGGGACUGAGACACGGCCCAGACUCCUACGGGAGGCAGCAGUGGGGAAUUUUGGACAAUGGGCGCAAGCCUGAUCCAGCAAUGCCGCGUGCAGGAAGAAGGCCUUCGGGUUGUAAACUGCUUUUGUCAGGGAAGAAAUCUUCUGGGUUAAUACCUCGGGGGGAUGACGGUACCUGAAGAAUAAGCACCGGCUAACUACGUGCCAGCCGCCGCUGUAACAC